GGAGGGUGCGAGCGUUAAUCGGAAUUACUGGGCGUAAAGGGCGCGUAGGCGGCCGAUCAAGUCAGAUGUGAAAGCCCACGGCUUAACCGUGUGAAGUGCAUCUGAAACUGGUCGGCUUGAGUAUCGGAGAGGAAAGUGGAAUUCCCGGUUUAGAGGUGAAAUUCGUAGAUAUCGGGAGGAAUACCGGUGGCGAAGGCGACUUUCUGGACGAAUACUGACGCUGAGGCGCGAAAGCGUGGGGAGCAAACAGGAUUAGAUACCCUGGUAGUCCACAGCUGUAAACGAUGUGCACUAGAUGUGGGGAAGUGUUGACCUUUCCUGUGUCGCAGCUAACGCAUUAAGUGCACCGCCUGGGGAGUACGGCCGCAAGGUUA
rnacentral:rRNA from 1 species